ACAUGAUGUGCAGCAAAAAGAAAGUCCCUAAUGCUGCGAGGUGAAAUAUUAUAAAUUGUAAAUCAGGGAAAGAGAACUGCACUUCGUGAAUGAAUUGCAUAAUAUAAACACAUUAGCAUUUCAUCGUCAUUGAACCCAAAUAACUACACAACUACCGAUAAGCAAGAUGCCAUCAUAUGUGACUUCAUUUCAAGCUGUUGAAAUCUAACGGAACUUAUUUUUCCUACGGACUUAAGAAAAGAAAAGAAAAGCAAAGGAAAUACUACUUGAUACAUGUAGAGCUUGGCCCCAGCACUUCAACGGAAAUUACUCAUAAUAACAGGUACAAUUUUUCCUCUCAAUGCUGUAAAUACUGAGGAGGCUCCACAGCUCGCCUGAAAACAGUGCAAGCACCGGAAAUCAAGUCCAUAAUAAACAUCUAAUUGAAUCCCUUCUGAUACCAAAUAAUCUGUACUUUCCACGACAAUUAGCAACUUCCCCCCCUGAAUCCACCAAACAAAUAAAGCCUAUUCUGUGAAGACACUCAUGAGAUCAUUUGGAGGAAAUUGCUGCAAUACUGGAAUGCCCACUCUCGCAACAUCUAAGUAUUCCAUAUUUGGCUCCUGCUUCACUUUACUGCCAUUGUUCUCUACAUAAGUUUUUCCUUGGCUCAAGUUGCUAAUUGGUGCUGUAAAUUCAUCCACUGAAAACUGGCUAGGAAGGAAAGUCCCUUUACCAACAAAUCCAAGGUACCUAAGUGGUCCUUGAUCAAGAACUUCACCUGACUUUGCACCAUAAGAACACAGGAUGUCACAAAUAUUUGAAUCAAGCCCUGGUAAAUGUCUAGCAGCUCCAAAGGUAAUGGCUGAAUUUUGAACUUGACGAGUGAUGCCACUGUCAGCAUUGACAGAAGAUGAUGAUGCAGAAGGAGAUAUGGAACCAGGGGCUGAGUACCCAUUAACAACAACUGUAGUUUUUAGAUUCCCAUCUGGCAUGUGCCCAAUAUUCAAUGAAGAAUUAUUUGACUGAGAUGACAGAAGGCUAUAAUCAAUGACAGAAUUCCUGUUAAAGUUGCAACUCUGAUUGACUGAAGCAGGACUAUUUCCUGCCUGAAAACUGGCUGAUGACUGAGAAGGGACCACCAGGCAAGAUGGCUGUACAUUAAUUGAACGGCUGGGCUCUGAUAAUGACUGCUGCUGUGGUUGUUGCUGAUGAUGUAACAUGUCCAUCAACAUGCUACCAUUUUGAGUACUCAUACCUCCAGGAUUAGUAUUAGAAGUCCAGGCUCCAAGUCCAGAAGUAACAAGUUCAACAGAUACCAUAUUUUGUGGGAAAGGUUUCGAAAUAUUGGAUUGGCAUUUUACCAAUGGCUGACCAAAUGCCACACCAUGUUCAACAGGAAUACACUUGGGACCCUGUAUGGAUGCUUGUAAAAGAGCUGGUUGGUCCACUGUUGUAACUAGGCUACCUGCUGGUCGACCAAGAAGUUCAGCAUGCAGCGCCGCUAAUGUUUGCGGAGGAAUCUGACCCGAGGCAGCCAAAGCUUGAAUGUCAAAUCUUCCAAGUGAAUUAAGUUUUACAUUUGAGUCCAUGGGGCCACAGAAUGCAUUGGAAAUCCCACCUUGUUGAGCAACCCCACUUAAUCUCUUCAGAUACAGUCUAAACUUCUGCAAAUGACUUGCAACAUUUUCCCUGGUUAAACCAGGUACAUUCAUCAAUUCUAGAAUUCUCUUAGGUACAGCCUUGUCAAUUCCAAGCUGGUUUACAGCACUGACAAAUUGUUGAUGAAGCUCCACAGACCAUACAACACGUGGUUUCUUUGAUGUAGAGGGAUCGUCAUUUUCUGGUUCACCAUCAUCUUCAUCUUUGGAAUUGCUCCUCUUUUUGUGACCUUUCAGAACUCCUUCUGUUCCCUCAUUGACAGAAGAAGUAUAUUCAGCAUCAUCAUUUCCCCGUUUAUUCCGAUCACUAUCUUCCAAGCUUCCAGAAUGUUCAAGUUCUUUAUUUUCAUUCCACUUUUUCCUAACAACAUGCUGCCAUAUAUUCUUGAGCUCUUCUUCACGUAUAGGUUUAAUCAAAUAAUCACAAGCUCCAUGUCUAAUCCCCCUCAUUACAGCACUUGUUCUUCCGUCAGCAGACAUCAUAAUAACAGGAAGGUCCAUUUCUAAGCCAACAUGCUCAAGAAGUUUAAAUCCAUCCAUAUCAGGCAUAUGAACGUCACUUAGUACCACAUCAAAACAGCCUUUCCUUUCCCUAAGAAGAUUCAAAGCUACUUUGGCCUGGGAACAAGUUGUAACGUGAUAAAGGCAACGGCGAAGCAUCUGCUCAAGAAUCCUCAAGCAAGUAAUGUCAUCAUCCACUACCAAAACACGCAAGCCUGCCGGAAACUGAUCAGACACCACCGCAUCGGCAGCAGCACCUUUACAAGAACCAUAAUUACUGGCAGUCGCGCUCACGCUCGACGCCACUCGCUGCAAAGCAGCCAUUACCAGUCAAAAACACAAACAGAGAAGUUACAGUGUAGUCUCUGACACUCCCUGCCAACGUGAGCAAACCCUAAACAAACUCUCUAACAGUAAAUUGCACACAUAGAGAGCUAAAAAUGAGCAUAGUAGGCAGUGGAGGAGUGGAAUUGGAGUAAAAUAGAGCUAGAUCUAUGGGGAUAAACCCUAGAAAAGGACCAAAAUGGGAGAAAACAAGCGACGAAGGAUGGAUUUAAGGGAGAUAGUUGUGAAGAGAUCCGUUAGAAAGUGGGAGAAAAAUGGCAAAAUUGCGGGAUUCUGUUGACGGAGAAGUGUUGAAUUUGGGAGGGAGAGGAGAGAGAACUGAAGAAAGGGGAAGGAAGAGAGAGAGAGAGAGCGAGAAUGAUAAUGAAGAAU
rnacentral:misc_RNA from 1 species